UUUAGGAAAGGUAAAGCUUUCCAGGAAAACACUGACAUCAAACAAGAUACCAGGCCACCAGCAGUGCAAACGAGGUACAGAUACGUAUGCAUUUUUUGCCAGAAUGAGCAGGUUUCAACUAAUGAACCUGAAACACGGGGCGAUCGGGGUUUGAAUAUG